rnacentral:rRNA from 1 species
GGCUCAACCCAGAGACUGCUUCCGAAACUGCUGUGCUUGAGUGUGGGAGACGCGCGUGGAAUUGCAUGUGUAGCGGUGAAAUGCGUAGAUAUCUGCAGGAACACCCGUGGCGAAAGCGGCGCGCUGGACCACUACUGACGCUGAGGAACGAAAGCUAGGGGAGCAAACAGGAUUAGAUACCCUGGUAGUCCUAGCCCUAAACGAUCAGGACUUGGGGUGCCACCCGUUCGGGUGUCGUCCCGGAGCUAACGCGUUAAGUCCUGCACCUGGGGAGUACGGUCGCAAGACUGAAACUCAAAGGAAUUGACGGGGGCCCGCACAAGCGGUGGAACAUGUGGUUCAAUUCGACGCUACGCGAGGAACCUUACC